rnacentral:rRNA from 1 species
AUUGAACGCUGGCGGCAUGCCUUACACAUGCAAGUCGAACGGCAGCACGGGUGCUUGCACCUGGUGGCGAGUGGCGAACGGGUGAGUAAUACAUCGGAACAUGUCCUGUAGUGGGGAAUAGCCCGGCGAAAGCCGGAUUAAUACCGCAUACGAUCUACGGAUGAAAGCGGGGGACCUUCGGGCCUCGCGCUAUAGGGUUGGCCGAUGGCUGAUUAGCUAGUUGGUGGGGUAAAGGCCUACCAAGGCGACGAUCAGUAGCUGGUCUGAGAGGACGACCAGCCACACUGGGACUGAGACACGGCCCAGACUCCUACGGGAGGCAGCAGUGGGGAAUUUUGGACAAUGGGCGAAAGCCUGAUCCAGCAAUGCCGCGUGUGUGAAGAAGGCCUUCGGGUUGUAAAGCACUUUUGUCCGGAAAGAAAUCCUUGGCCCUAAUACGGUCGGGGGAUGACGGUACCAGAAGAAUAAGCACCGGCUAACUACGUG